rnacentral:lncRNA from 1 species
GGCGUCGCCGCGCAUGCGCAGCCGGGGGCCGGUCCGCGGCUGUUUCUUUCCUUUCGUCCAGCGGCGGGCCGGGAGCAGCACCGGAGAGCUGGGACCCGCGGUCGCCGUCCGCGGUCCUGGGAAAGGCCGCGGAUAGAUCGGACAGUGAGGCUCCCUGUAGAGCUGUGGUUAAAUCAGUCUGCCCUGUGGCCACCCCGUAGGGCGUCCAGCUUUGUCCAGUAGGCUGCAGUGUCUGCUCAAUGCCGGGUGUAAAUAAAAAACUAUCGAAAUCAGCCAGGCUAAUGUUGCUUUCCAAAAUUAAGUGACUUGGGUGAUGUAGAAAUCGCGACUCAGAAUGUCUAGAAAGCAUGUUCGGAAUGCUUUCCAGAUCUCCACCCUUCAGCAAUUCGGUUUAUUCAAGGUUGAAACAGGGUAACAAGAUUUGUAACCUCUUAACCCUUCUACACCUCUACCAUCGACUCCCUGAUCUCGAAUCGUCAUGGAUUCGACCAUGAAGCAUUCACGAUGGAGCAAACUUUACCUUGAAUUCUUCCAAGAUGAAUUUGAGCCUGCGUGCUUGGGGGUAAAAACGUGGCUGACAUGUCUAAACAAAAUAUAUGGUCAUUUUCAUCUCUGACUGGAACUUGAAUUGGCUUCAGCAAGAACCAGCUCACACCUAAGUCAUCAACAAGACUCUUGCAGAUUUCUUCUGGAGAGACAGAAAUAUCUGCAGCCAGGAGGACGGCUGUUGGAGGAAUUCAGGAGCAUUCGACGGAGUCUCCUGUAGUCGGCGAGUGGUCAGUUUUACACAUCCUCCUCAGGACCUCACAGGCAAGAACAGCAGGAUCUGCUUCCUUCAUGAAACCUUGGCUCUGUUCUAUCCAUCGACAGUCCUUCAGGAUACCUAACCUGUCCAGAAACCAAGGUGGGUGGGGGGAUGGACAGUACCACUUACCAUUCUCCCAUCAAUCCAUGACAGAAUUUGCUUUGUCUUCUACAGUGUUAUACUUUGCUGGCUGAGAGGCCUUAGUUCCAGCAAGGGAGGCAUCUUACCAGGAGAAAUAAUAAGAAUGGUGUCACUGAGCUGAAAAUUAGACUGCCACUUGGACGCUCUAGGCUCCUUGUGCCUCUGAGUCAACAGGCAAGGAAGGAAGUCAAGGGUGUUGCUGUAGGGUGGGGUGCUGAGUACUGAGGAGAAACUGGGCAACUACUCCACAGGUAAGGGAGGUAAGGAUAAGUGUGUCUGGACUAUAGGAGAAUGGCUCUAGUGAAGGCCCAUUGAAUAAAGGACCAUACCAGCUAAAGUUGCCAAAGGCAACAGAUAUCUACUGUGCAGUAGAAGAUAGUUAUAAAAACCAGCUAUGACCGUAUGGCAAGUCAUAGGAAUAAAAGCUAUAAUUGCUAUGGCUUCUCUCCAUGAAAGAGUGUGUAUUUGUAUGUGUAUUACUGUGCUGGAUAGUUUCAUGCCAACCUGACAUAAGCUGAGUCAUCUGAGAGAAGAGAACCUCAAUUAAGACAAUGCCUUAGUAAGAUCAGGCUGCUGGCAAGGCUGUAAAGCAUUGUCUUAAUGAUUGAUGGGAGAGGGCACAUCCCAUUGUGGGUGGUGCCAUCGCUGUCCUGGAUUCUAUAAAAGCAGGAUGAGCAAGCCAGGACUAGCAAGCCCGUAAGCACAUCACUCCACGGACUCUGCAUCAGCUCCUGCCUCCAGGUUCCUGCCCCACUUAAGUUGCUGGGAAUUGAACUCAGGACCUCUGGAAGAGCAGUCAGUGCUCUUAACCACUGAGCCAUCUCUCCAGCCCUCUUGACUACUUUUUUUUUUUUUUUAUAAAUAAAAUCAUUUAAUUGGGGCUUGAUUACAGUUUCUGAGGGUAAGUCCAUGAUCAUCAUGGCAGGGAACAUGGCAGCAGACAGGCAGGUAUGCUGCUGAAGCAGUAGCUCAGAGCUGGCAUUAUGAUCUGCAAGGUAGAAGCAGAGAGAGAGAGAGAGAGAGAGAGAGAGAGAGAGAGAGAGAGACAGAGACAGAGACAGAGAGAGAGACAGAGAGAGAGAGAGACACACACACAGACAGAGAGCCUCUUGACUACUUUUGAUAAUGAACUGUAAUACGGAGCUAUGAGUGAAAUAAACUCUUUCAUCCUAA